GCUAGAAUUGGAAGGUAGUGCUUCAGUACUGUCAACAAAUUCAGUUCACAGGAAUAGAAGAAUUUAUUUUCAUUUCUAUUUUUUAAGCAUGACAGAAGUGUCAAUAACUUUAAUACAAGAUCUCUUACUAUUUUAUUUCUCCUUUUUGCAAUAGUUGGGAAAGUCUUGGAAUUUUCUAAUACUCCAGCUUAAUCUCCCUCUGCGUGCUGAUGUUAAGAGGUGUUGUUGUCAAACCUUCCCAGCUACAUUGGUUAAUCCAUUCCAAGUGCCAGUAGUUAUCCUGAGCUCCAUGCUGACUGCUAUGACAUGAAACUUCAGAAUCUGUGCACCUCUGAUGUCAUCAGGAGCCAUUGAUGUCAGAGCGGCUUCUGCGCAGCGUGAAGGUCCGUGUCAACUCAUCACAUUACCUCUGCAUGAAAGAAUGAAAUAUGUAAUAAAAGGAAACCGCAAAUAGCCAAGCCAUGUUUCAAAACUGAAGAGACUCUACUUGUUCCUUUAAACUAGAAGAAAAAUGUAACUUCCUAACACUGAUUGAUUUUGGGGAUCCAUCUGCAGCAGAACCAAAAUGCUUCUCUACUUCCCCACACCACUCAUCAGCUCUGCUUAUGUUGGCUAAACGUGUGAGAGAAAACUGAAGACGUAACAAAGUUCCUACAUGCCAGUUUCCAGUGGAAGUAUGACUGUAAGCACGUGUACUUCUACCCAAACAUCAGGAUGUGCAAACUGCAGGAAGAUGCUAGGCUGGGUGUGAGUCUUUUAUUUCCUUUCACAUAAAUGUUUAGACCAAGUCCUAGUUCAGCUUUUGAAAGUGCUAAAUGUAGUAAUUGUUUUUUUAUAUACUCUUUAUGGUAUUUCUGUUUAGUUUAAGCCAUAAAUUUGAACACAGAAAGCAUUAAAAAGAUAGUAGAGGAAUGAUAGCUUCUUUAUCCCUAGUUCCAAGCUCUGAGCAAGGUAGUGUUGGCUGUAGUUUUUAUUUGGAGGGAAGAGAAGCAACCUUUCUCAUAAACCUUUCAUUAGUUGAACACAGAGGUGACCAAGUUUCCACAUCAGAGUGCAUGACAACCCUAAGAUUGGCUCAUGAAAUGGUGGGGUGAGCCCUAAAGAGACAGGAUUUUAUGGCAUGGGUUGAGAGCAUGGGAUAUGAGGUGCUGCUAAGUGGCAUGCUGUUUAAUUAAGCACAUCUCUUUCUGCAUGGAGGUUUACUAGGUGACACGUUCAUAUCCUGCCUUUUCUUAUUCCCUUUGAAGCAAGCAGCCCAGUACUGCUUCAUGUGGUUGAGAUGUUGUUUUUCUACCUGAAGAGAAAGAUGGAAUAAACUUCUGAAUUCUCAUAGUUGAGCUGUGAGCUCGAACUUGUCAGUGAUAGAUAUUCUUUCUUGCAUGUAGAGGGCAUUCUGCGUUAUUUCUCUAAAAACUGGAUCUUGCUAAGUUUUACUGAUUUGUUCUGGACCAAAAAGCUGUAAACCAGCUCAGUUUGGACUUGUAUUAGUUGGGAUAGGCAGACACAAUCUUUGGGUAGCUGUUCAUAGCUGUUUCUCAUUGAGCGUGAUAGCUUCCUUUGCAUAUUCAUGCUCACUCCUCAGUUUACUCUUCAUAUUCAGUUCUUUGAUCAGUCAUAUGCUAAGUUCUUAAAAUAUGCAUCUUUUUAAAAUAACCAACAGCUUACAUACCUGCUUAAUAUGUCACUUUAUUCAGAAAGUAAUAAGAAGAUGAAAGGAGGAAAGUGACUUUUGUGUAAAAAUCUCACUCCAGGUGUGAGUGGAGGGAAAAAAAAUAGUCCUACUUUAUUAUGUCUUAUCUUUGAAAUUAUGUAAGUAUUUUUCAGUCAACAAAUUAAUUUUCAGCUGGAAAAUCACAGCUAUGAGUCGGUUGGGUUUUCACUCAUCAUAUCAUACUAUUACAGCAAAAACUGGAGUUCAUAAUGAUAUUGUGGAAACUGCUGAUCAAAGGUUGUUUACAUGGACUGUGUUCACUGAUUUGCCCUGUUUUCUCAUACAGAUGUGCUCUAAUGACUAUUCUCUGCAAAACUGAUUUUUCAAAAAGAUUCUUUAAUCUGAUUACUCUGUAAUUGUUAGUUAUUCUUGAGUGUGAGUUUACGUACAUAUUUGCUUGAAUGUGUGUUUCACAUGAUUGUGAUGCAAAUAUGCCACAUAAGAAAGGUAUUUCAAGAACAAAGUUACUUUAUCCAAGAGGAAAUAGCAGUUACUGCAGUAACUAAUUGGCACCUUUUAAAAAAUAAUUUUAAAAAAUAGUUUUCAAAAUCUAAAAUGAGGAAUUGUAAUUCAUCCGUAGAUAAAUGUAGGUAUGAAUUUCCACCAUCAGACAUAGCUUUCAAGCUAUGCUUUCUUCAAUGUGACGUGGUCUUUAAUUAGUCAUUGAUAGCUAAUGCUAUUCAGGAACAGCCAGUCUCCCCAGCAGUCAAAUCAACAGCCAUUCAAAUACCACAGAGUCUGAAUAUUACAUACAUAUAUAUGUUUUUAUAUGAAGUGAGUCUAGGAAAAUAAAAGGCUUCCCAUGGAGAAAUAUAUGAAAUAUAUUUCAUAUUUCUGACCCUCUAUUAAAAUAUUGAGUUUGCAGUUGAAGUUUUACACUGUUGCUGCUGACAGCACAGAGAUUCUUCAAUUCUACCCUAAAAACUAAAUAACAUAUUUGGAUGAUGCAGUUAGGACUGUUUCAUCUUAUCUCUUCCCAAGGAAAAUAUACUAUCAGAGGCAUUUUUAGGUAGGUGCAUCCACAACUACAUCUAUUCUAACAAUUUCGUUGUAAAAAAAAAUGUUGGGAAAAAGUGAAAAAUGCCUUUAACUGACACUACUAUAUUAAAAAAAAAAAAAAAAGGUUCCAGUGUAUGCUUGUCUCCCAGAAAAUGUCAGUGCCUGCUCUUUUUGGCAGAAACAUUUUCUUAACGAAUUUGAUACGUAAAGGAAGUAUUUCUAUUAUACCACUCUGCAGUUCCUUUGUGUGUCUGGCCAGUCACACUGCCUAAUUGCCUAAGACUGCCAACUGCAAAAGUCCUCAGUCGGGUAUUCAGACUUCAUUCCUUCUCCCCUGCAGCACUUUGCCUCGGUAGUGCUUGGGGUACUGUGUUUCUGCAGUGAAAAGAUGUAGCUAUGAAGUUAUUGAUCAAGGGAACUGAGAAUUUGUGUAUAGAUCACCAUUUCACUCUUCACUUUGAAGAUGUAGGGCAACCCUUCAGAAGAAAAGAACAGUGUUUGAAGCACAGUAAUAGCUAAAGAAGUGUUCAGGUAAUGGUGAACUCUGUUGCCUUUUCACUUGAAGCUAAGUAUUCCCUGAAAUGCUAGAUUUCUAAUUCAACUGUACUAACUUGAUAUUUUCCUUGUUACGCUUUGUUAUCAGGCUUUUCUUGUGCUAAAAUAAAUCUGUGUGAAACUGAGAAAAAUGCCAUGCUUUUUAAAUCUGAAUGGAGCAGUGUGCCAAAGCAGCUCAGGAGAACCAAAACCCAGUUUUGUCCAGCUACAGCAAACUACAGCAGUUUUUGUCCAGCUCUGAUGGCCUAUAUGGGAAUCACUAUUUUGGGUAACAAGUUUCCAGGAGGCAUUAACAGACUGAAUAUCUUUCUGGCAUGUACCUAGCAAGGAAGGGCAGAGGCAUUCAGUAGCUCUAGCCUUACCAGAAAAUACUGAUUGCAGACAGUUUACCCAGAUCUUAUUUUCCUUCCAAAUGAUGAGAGAACUGUGACACGAUCUAUUUCUUCCUGUGGACAACUGCCACUGAGCACUGUGAAAUACGCUCUGACCUACUGACUUCUUCCUAGAAGUAUUUAAAAUGGAAAUGCCUGUUUUAAAAUACUCUUGUAUAUUUAAUUAACAUAUUUAUUUCCAUUCAGUAAUUAAACAGAUCAGUGUGGGGAAAUUUUCAAAUAACCAAGAAAUCUCUGAUGCAUGCUAUUUUCAAAGCAAAACCAAAGACAACCCAAACUAUCUUCCUGACUGUAUUUCUAGUUUUCUAUAGCGUUGAUAGUGCUUCUUGUAGUAUUCCCAUCACAGAGGAAUUGCACUUGUAAGUACAAGAGAAAUGUUUGGGGCUACAAGUUUUUAACUGUGGUUGUAGUUCCACUUGUUGGCUUUGAGAAAGAGAAAAUACCAUUUUUCACCUUCACGUUUUUAGAGGGGAAGAAACUGUCAUGUGAAUACUGAUGGAUGUCAAAUAAGGUGAUGCUUUGUGUAACUACAUU
ensembl:lncRNA